GAUGAACGCUGGCGGCGUGCCUAAUACAUGCAAGUCGAGCGAACAGACGAGGAGCUUGCUCCUCUAACGUUAGCGGCGGACGGGUGAGUAACACGUGGAUAACCUACCUAUAAGACUGGGAUAACUUCGGGAAACCGGAGCUAAUACCGGAUAAUAUAUUGAACCGCAGGGUUCAAUAGUGAAAGACGGUUUUGCUGUCACUUAUAGAUGGAUCCGCGCCGCAUUAGCUAGUUGGUAAGGUAACAGCUUACCAAGGCAACGAUGCGUAGCCGACCUGAGAGGGUGAUCGGCCACACUGGAACUGAGACACGGUCCAGACUCCUACGGGAGGCAGCAGUAGGGAAUCUUCCGCAAUGGGCGAAAGCCUGACGGAGCAACGCCGCGUGAGUGAUGAAGGUCUUCGGAUCGUAAAACUCUGUUAUUAGGGAAGAACAAAUGUGUAAGUAACUAUGCACGUCUUGACGGUACCUAAUCAGAAAGCCACGGCUAACUACGUGCCAGCAGCCGCGGUAAUACGUAGGAGGCAAGCGUUAUCCGGAAUUAUUGGGCGUAAAGCGCGCGUAGGCGGUUUUUUAAGUCUGAUGUGAAAGCCCACGGCUCAACCGUGGAGGGUCAUUGGAAACUGGAAAACUUGAGUGCAGAAGAGGAAAGUGGAAUUCCAUGUGUAGCGGUGAAAUGCGCAGAGAUAUGGAGGAACACCAGUGGCGAAGGCGACUUUCUGGUCUGUAACUGACGCUGAUGUGCGAAAGCGUGGGGAUCAAACAGGAUUAGAUACCCUGGUAGUCCACGCCGUAAACGAUGAGUGCUAAGUGUUAAGGGGUUUCCGCCCCUUAGUGCUGCAGCUAACGCAUUAAGCACUCCGCCUGGGGAGUACGACCGCAAGGUUGAAACUCAAAGGAAUUGACGGGGACCCGCACAAGCGGUGGAGCAUGUGGUUUAAUUCGAAGCAACGCGAAGAACCUUACCAAAUCUUGACAUCCUCUGACCCCUCUAGAGAUAGAGUUUUCCCCUUCGGGGGACAGAGUGACAGGUGGUGCAUGGUUGUCGUCAGCUCGUGUCGUGAGAUGUUGGGUUAAGUCCCGCAACGAGCGCAACCCUUAAGCUUAGUUGCCAUCAUUAAGUUGGGCACUCUAAGUUGACUGCCGGUGACAAACCGGAGGAAGGUGGGGAUGACGUCAAAUCAUCAUGCCCCUUAUGAUUUGGGCUACACACGUGCUACAAUGGACAAUACAAAGGGUAGCGAAACCGCGAGGUCAAGCAAAUCCCAUAAAGUUGUUCUCAGUUCGGAUUGUAGUCUGCAACUCGACUAUAUGAAGCUGGAAUCGCUAGUAAUCGUAGAUCAGCAUGCUACGGUGAAUACGUUCCCGGGUCU
rnacentral:rRNA from 1 species